GUGUAAAUUUCAUAAGUCACUCAUAUAAUCCCGAUAAUAUGGUUCGGGAGUCUCUACCGGAGAACCGUAAAUUCUCCGACUAUGAGUGAGUCGGGCAGUGCU
rnacentral:ncRNA from 2 species